rnacentral:lncRNA from 1 species
GUUUCUUUUAAUAAAAUAUAAUCAAACAUAUUAACACAAUAAUCAUUCCGAUUUUUAUUUUAUUAUAAAUUAAAUGAUAUUAUAAUAAAAAUGUCAUAGAAGAAUUACACAGUAUGUUUGAACAAAGAGAUAAGAUUCAAUUUUUCUUAAGAAUUUUCAAACAAUAUAGUAUCUUAUAAUAAACUUUUAAGAAUAGAAAUAAAUUUAAAACUUAAUAAAUUUUCAUCCACCAUAAAGGCCUGUUUUUAGGCGGCAGAACGGAUUCAUCCGUCACGGCUGAGACUUCCGUUCUUUGUUUGCAGUUUCUAUUUCAGCAUGUCCUCGACCAACCACAAAGGAAGACACCAGUUAUCGAACACAUCGAGCCAAUCGUUUACCUCGAAAUUAUCUCGUUUGUUGUUUAUCUUCUUUUUCGUUGGUGAGCAUCGCGCGAUAUAAAACGAAAUUAAAACGCCAUCUAGUUAUUACAGAGAGUAUACACAAAUGAAUCAAUUUGAUCGUAGCUGCUGAUAUAACAUUUGUCUGACGCCAAGCCAUUGUGAUUGACAUCGAACCAACGUUAUAUAAAGACACUUAGAUCGUCUUACAGAACGAGCCAAAGGUGUGAACGUGAUAAAAAUCUCGAAUCACGUUUGAUUCCGGAUAAAUAAACGGUUUUUUUUAAAACCGUAUUAUUCCUUGACAUUUUGAUAAAAAAAAACAUAUAUAAUAUUCAUAACGAAUAAAUUAAUUUUGUAUACAAAUGAAUUAAUUUUAUAUACAAGGAAGAAAAAUAUUUAAAAAACAGUAACAGGAAAAGUAAGUAAAUUCUAUUACAAAAAGCAUAAAAUCUUGAAAAUCAAGUAAAAUCUUUAUCUACUACGUCAGUUUAUAGAAAGAUAAUUAAAGGAAGAGAAGAUAUCGAUUAAGAAAAGGCAUUUAGUCGAUUAUUUUUCAUUUUCCUCGUACACUUAUUCUUUAAAUCCCAAUCAGAUAUUAUCCGAUUUGUGGUAUUAUCAUGUUUUUUGAAUGCAUUUUAAUGCGUGGAUCAUUUAUAUACACCUUAUAUCAAUACAUACACUUCUUGUGACGAAUGCAUAUGAAUGUAAGUGAAUACUUUGCACUGCAAGUCUAGGCGAAGAGAAUAGUUACAGAAAUAGCUUAUGACUCAAUAUUUAGACACCACAUUUAAUACGAACCAUAUGGAAUUAUGUUCAUUUCUUGUGGUCAAAAAUCAAAGAUGAUUUAUUUUGAUAAAUACGGUUUACACGAUUUCUAUAAAACAUUCAUUAAUGAAUGUUUUAUAGAAAAAUCUUAAAACUUUAAAAUCUGGUCCAUGUUGAAGAGAUUCGAGAUCUUUGUAGACUAAAGAUUUUUGAGUUAUAAAUUCAGAUAUAAAAAAUUUUAAAUCACAAUUUGUAAAAAUUUUUAGCUCGAAAUCCUCAAUAUUGAAUUGAUAUUUAACAGAUGAUGAUUUUAGAUUGAUUUUUGUUAAUUCUUUGUAAUCGAAAUUCUACAAUUUCAAAUUAAUUUUAUAUAAUAUUCUUUCAUUUUCAUUGUUCGAAUAUCUUGGGAAAUAUGAGAAAAAUGUGACUUUCGAUCAGAAUUGCCAGAAUAUAUAACUUGCUUCUGUUUUAGCACUGAAACAAGGAAGUUUAUGUUUAAAAACGUAGGUUUCAUUCUAAAUAUACUUACUUUAGAGUCAGAGUUACCAAAUAACGGGACAAAACGGCUGUCAGUGACAUUACAAAAUAGCAGCAUAAAGAAUUAAACUGCAUCAUUACUUCACUUAUUCAUUCUCUUCCUUUAGAAAACUUUAGAACAAAUUUUCUACUUUCUACUUUAAAUUACUCUGGAAUAGAAGAAACAAAUUGAGUGAGAAAAUAAAGAUUCAGUUGGCAAUCUUGCUCAGCAAUUUUCUUAAGAAAAUAACGUCACAUUAUUCUUACUUUUUGUCUCUAUUUAUAUCUAUGAAUCAAUUCUAUAUUAAUCUUUUUUCUGAAUUUCAAAAUAAUAAUCUUGGUUUCCAUGUUAAAAGCAGUACACAAAUUCAAUUAGCAAUUGACUAAGAUAAAAUGAUUGCAGUGAAUGAGAAAACAAUUUCUUCUUAUUUUUAUCAACAAUCUGAAAAAAAUGAAUAAAAAUAGAAUAAUAUUGGAGAGAAGCUAUGUCACAUUUCUACAUAAUAAAGUAUUACAUAUCUCUAUAAACAAAUCUUGUCACUGAUAUUUAACCAGCCAUUUUGCCUGGUAUUUGGCAAUUCUGAUUCUCUUAGUUUGUUGUCUUAUUCCCAAAAUAUAAUUUAAGAUCAGAUUCUGCCUAGAAUUCCCUCUAACAAUCCUGCUGCCAACUCUCUGUCAGAGAAAAAAAUGACAGAGUUAUAUUUAAUGUUCGAACGAAGUAGAAAAGAUCUGUUUCUAAUCAGCAGUAAUAAGAAUUAUUUAUAUAAGUUUUUCUUUCAUGUUUAUUACAUUUUAUCGUUUCAUUUCAUUUAAUUAUAAAAUAUGCGUUAAUUGAUUAUUCAUAUGUAAAAUAAGGGAAACAAUAAGGACAGAGGGAAAAUAAAAUGGAAUUAAAAUUCAAAAGCCAUAUAUAUCGCUGUAAAUAUAAAUUUAUUGAAGUCUUACAGUGCUUAGAUUGAACAAAAACAUACGGCAAACUGAACAAUUUAAGUACACCUAUAUCUUGUCAAUAAAUUCGCCGUAUAAAUAUUUUAUUAUUUUACACCUAUGUAAAUUGUGUACGAUUUUAUUUAUGAUGUAUCGUAUAUGUCUCUAUGUAUAAUUUAUAUACAAAUCCGAUAUAAUAAUAAUGCCGUAUAUGUAAAUAUACAUAUACAAACGUAGAAAAUACAAAUUAUUCUUCGCGAAAUUUUUUUUUUUUUUUUUUCUUUUCUUUUUUAAAGACAUUUCAUAUCUCAUACAAAGCAAAUUCUUGAUAUUCGAAUUUUGUACUCUUUUUUUUCUUUUUUUUUUUUUUUUUUUUUUUGCAUUUACGUAUCAUUACACUUACGUAUCAUUGAAAUUCGCAACAACAAUGAACAUCGUGUAUUUUUUUUCUAUACAUGUAUGGAAAGCCUUUCCCCUUUCGAAAAUUACGACAACUGUGAGCAUGAAUUAUUAUUAUUAUUAUUAUUAUUAUUAUUUAUUUGUAAUCAAUUUAAAAGAUAAGAAUUGCUCAAUAGUAUCUUUCGUCGAAUAAGUCUUUUAUUGUACUUUUUAUUGCGUUUUGUUUAGAAUAAUCUAUAAUAAUCAUAUAAACGAAAGCAUGUAUACUAGGCGUUAACGUUACGUGCCAAAGAAAAAUAUUUAGAACAUAACGUGAUGAUGAUUUUUAAAGUGAACGAUGGCUUACAUAUUUACAAAGCUUAACUCUAAAGCGGAUAUGAGAAUUACAACAAUAAAAAGUUGUAAUUUCCUUAAUGAUAAUAUAUAAGAUGAUUUU